GAUGAACGCUGGCGGCAGGCUUAACACAUGCAAGUCGAACGCACCGCAAGGUGAGUGGCGCACGGGUGAGUAACGCGUGGGAAUGUACCGUUUAGUACGGAAUAGCUCCGGGAAACUGGAAUUAAUACCGUAUACGCCCUUCGGGGGAAAGAUUUAUCGCUAAACGAUCAGCCCGCGUGAGAUUAGGUAGUUGGUGGGGUAAUGGCCUACCAAGCCUACGAUCUCUAGCUGGUCUGAGAGGAUGAUCAGCCACACUGGAACUGAGACACGGUCCAGACUCCUACGGGAGGCAGCAGUGGGGAAUAUUGGACAAUGGGGGCAACCCUGAUCCAGCCAUGCCGCGUGAAUGAUGAAGGCCUUAGGGUUGUAAAGUUCUUUUACCGAUGAAGAUAAUGACGGUAGUCGGAGAAAAAGCCCCGGCUAACUUCGUGCCAGCCGCCGCCGUAA
rnacentral:rRNA from 1 species